ACGGUUCAAUUACACGUGGAUAACCUGCCCUCAGGUCUGGCAUACCCCCGGGAAACUGGGGAUAAUUCCGGAUAACGCAUAUAUGCUGGAAUGCUUUAUGCGUCAAAGGUCCUCCGCCUGAGGAUGGGUCUGCGGCCUAUCAGGUAGUAGCGGGUGUAAUGUACCUGCUAGCCGACGACGGGUACGGGUUGUGAGAGCAAGAGCCCGGAGAUGGAUUCUGAGACAUGAAUCCAGGCCCUACGGGGCGCAGCAGGCGCGAAAACUUUACAAUGCGGGAAACCGUGAUAAGGGGACACCGAGUGCCAGCAACAUUUGCUGGCUGUCCAGGUGUGUAAACUACACCUGUUAGCAAGGGCCGGGCAAGACCGGUGCCAGCCGCCGCGGUAACACCGGCGGCCCGAGUGGUGAUCGUUAUUAUUGGGUCUAAAGGGUCCGUAGCCGGUUUAGUCAGUCCUCCGGGAAAUCUGUCAGCUCAACUGAUAGGCUAUCGGGGGAUACUGCUAGACUUGGAACCGGGAGAGGUAAGAGGUACUACAGGGGUAGGAGUGAAAUCUUGUAAUCCCUGUGGGACCACCUGUGGCGAAGGCGUCUUACCAGAACGGGUUCGACGGUGAGGGACGAAAGCUGGGGGCACGAACCGGAUUAGAUACCCGGGUAGUCCCAGCCGUAAACGAUGCUCGCUAGGUGUCAUGCAUGGUGCGACCGUGUAUGGUGCCGUAGGGAAGCCGUGAAGCGAGCCACCUGGGAAGUACGGCCGCAAGGCUGAAACUUAAAGGAAUUGGCGGGGGAGCAC
rnacentral:rRNA from 1 species